GUGAUGGGAAUUAAAGAACCCCAGGAACACUUGCCCUUAGCAGGGAGGGAGAGAAAAGCUGACCUGUGUGUGGUAAUCAGGCUUCCUGGGGAAGAAGUUGCUGUAUCUCCCAGAUUUUUGUCUCACAUUGUGUUAAAGCAUGGAUUAGAAAGCCACCCAGUGGGCAUAGAAUGGAUCAGGGUUGAGCUCAUCUCAUGUAAAUGCCUUCUGAGAUGCUACCUGGACAACUCCAGUGGGACAAAGCCUUGGUGCACACACUAUGGGUGUACAGCAGUGACUCUCCAUGCAAGGACAGGAAUACCAUUAUCCAGCUUUUCCAGCACAAAUUGGAGGCUCUUCAUACUCCAUGCCAGCAAAAUAUUCCCCCUUUGUAUGAGGGCCAGAAAGCUGCAGCUUAUGCAAUGA
rnacentral:lncRNA from 1 species